rnacentral:miRNA from 1 species
AGCUGUCUUUGGACUACAAGUCCCAUCACCCCUGACCACUGGUCCUGCUAGCUAGGGAUGAUGGGAGUUGUAGUCCAAAAACAGCU